rnacentral:rRNA from 1 species
GAUGAACGCUAGCGGGAGGCCUAACACAUGCAAGCCGAGCGGGAUUUGUUGGUUAGCUUGCUAACUAACAAUGAGAGCGGCGUACGGGUGCGUAGCACGUGUGCAACCUGCCUUUAUCUGGGGGAUAGCCUUUCGAAAGGAAGAUUAAUACCCCAUAACAUAUUGAUUGGCAUCAGUUAAUAUUGAAAGCUCCGGCGGAUAGAGAUGGGCACGCGUAAGAUUAGCUAGUUGGUGAGGUAACGGCUCACCAAGGCUGCGAUCUUUAGGGGGCCUGAGAGGGUGAUCCCCCACACUGGUACUGAGACACGGACCAGACUCCUACGGGAGGCAGCAGUGAGGAAUAUUGGACAAUGGGGGAGAGCCUGAUCCAGCCAUCCCGCGUGAAGGACUAAGGACCUAUGGUUUGUAAACUUCUUUUAUACAGGGAUAAACCUACUCUCGUGAGGGUAGCUGAAGGUACUGUAUGAAUAAGCACCGGCUAACUCCGUG